rnacentral:lncRNA from 1 species
UGAUGAAAGUGAAGAUUUGGAAGAAGAAGAUGAAGAUAAGGAUAUGUCUUUUAUAACAAGAAAGUUCAAAAGAUUCAUGAAGAAAAAAAGAUAGAACUUCAAGAAGAAGCCUUUCUCAAAGGGUGAGCCAAGUAAAGAAAAAAGAGAAGGAUAAAAUAAAGGGCCAUCAGUGUGCUAUGAAUGCAAAAAGUCUAGGCAUUUUAAGAGUGACUAUCCC